AUUGAACGCUGGCGGCAGGCCUAACACAUGCAAGUCGAGCGAGUGGCGGACGGGUGAGUAAUGUCUGGGAAACUGACGGAUGGAGGGGGAUAACUACUGGAAACGGUAGCUAAUACCGCAUACAAACGGAUGUGACCCGAUGGGAUUAGCUAGUAGGUGGGGUAACGGCUCACCCAGGCGACGAUCCCUAGCGGGUCUGAGAGGAUGACCAGCCACACUGGAACUGAGAAACGGUCCAGACUCCUACGGGAGGCAGCAGUGGGGAAUAUUGCACAAUGGGCGGAAGCCUGAUGCAGGCAUGCCGCGUGUAUGAAGAAGGCCUUCGGGUUGUAAAGUACUUUCAGCGGGGAGGCGUUACCCGCAGAAGAAGCACCGGCUAACUCCGUGCCAGCAGCCGCGGUAAUUC
rnacentral:rRNA from 1 species